rnacentral:rRNA from 1 species
GCGCACCAGGCGAGAAAACUUUACAAUGUGCGAAAGCACGAUAAGGGAACUCUGAGUGCCUCCUAAGGAGGCUGUUCAGGUGUCUAAAAAGCACCUGAAGGAAGGGCGUGGGUAAGGACCGGUGCCAGCCGCCGCGGUAACACCGGCAGCCCAAGUGGUAGCCACGUUUAUUGGGUCUAAAGCGUCCGUAGCCGGCUGGGGUAAGUUCCUUGGGAAAUUUGGCUGCUUAACAGUCAAGCUUUCAGGGAAUACUGCCCGGCUU